GUGGUUUAAUUCGAAGCAACGCGAAGAACCUUCCCUAAACUUGACAUCCCAAUGACAUCUCCUUAAUCGGAGAGUUCCCUUCAGGGACCAGCGUGACAGAUGGUCCAUGGUUUUCGUCAGCACCUGGCGUGAGAUGUUGGGUUAAGUCCCGCAACGACCGCAACCCUUUUCUCUAGUUUCCUUCAUAAAGUUGCGCCCUCUGGAGCGACUGCCACGGAUAACCUGGAGGAAGGUGGGGAUGACGUCAAAUCAUCAUGCCCCUUAUGCUUAGGGCUACACACGUGCUACAAUGGGUAGUACAGAGGGUUGCCAAGCCGUAAGGUGGAGCUAAUCCCUUAAAGCUACUCUCAGUUCGGAUUGUAGGCUGAAACUCGCCUACAUGAAGCUGGAGUUACUAGUAAUCGCAGAUCAGAAUGCUGCGGUGAAUGCGUUCCCGGGUCUUGUACACACCGCCCGUCACACCACGGGAGUUGGAGACGCCCGAAGCCGAUUAUCUAACCUUUUGGAAGAAGUCGUCGAAGGUGGAAUCAAUAACUGGGGUGAAGUCGUAACAAGGUAGCCGUAUCGGAAGGUGCGGCUGGAUCACCUCCUUUCUAAGGA
rnacentral:rRNA from 1 species